ensembl:lncRNA
CUUAUUUCCCCCCGAGUCAUAUUAUUAUCUCCCAAGAAUCCAGCACUCUAGGGAAGGAAAACAGGUAUUUAAACUUCCGAGAGGUAGCAAUUCUUGGGAAAGAAGGGGAGAGAGAAGAAGGAAAAUCUUUCAAGCAGGAUGCGGGUGGGGGGCAGUAAGAAGCUGGGAACGAUCACCGAUCACCGUGCUAAGAGGUUUGCAGAGCUGAUGAAAAUCUUGUACUAUGCAAUGCAAAAACUGUCACUAUAUCAUUCGAUGAGUUCCUGUAAAUGCACACACCUUUGCAGCCCAGACCCUAUCAGGAAACAGAACAUGGACCAUCACCCUAGAAUGUUUCUCUUGUCCUUUCCCAGCAAACUCUAGC